rnacentral:rRNA from 1 species
UACGUAGGGGGCAAGCGUUAUCCGGAUUUACUGGGUGUAAAGGGAGCGUAGACGGCGAUGCAAGCCAGGAGUGAAAGCCCGGGGCCCAACCCCGGGACUGCUCUUGGAACUGCGUGGCUGGAGUGCAGGAGGGGCAGGCGGAAUUCCUGGUGUAGCGGUGAAAUGCGUAGAUAUCAGGAGGAACACCGGUGGCGAAGGCGGCCUGCUGGACUGCAACUGACGUUGAGGCCCGAAAGCGUGGGGAGCAAACAGG